rnacentral:rRNA from 1 species
GAAGGGUUUCGAUCGUAAACCCCUGUCAUUUGUGAACAAUGGUUAUCCGUGAAUAGCGGAUGACUUGAUAGUAAUGAAAGAGGAAGGGACGGCUAACUCUGUGCCAGCAGCCGCGGUAAUACAGAGGUCCCGAGCGUUGUUCGGAUUCACUGGGCGUAAAGGGUGCGUAGGUGGCAUGGUAAGUUUGAUGUGAAAGCUCAGGGCUCAACCCUGAAAUGGCAUUGAAUACUACUGUGCUGGAGGUUUGGAGGGGGGACUGGAAUUCUCGGUGUAGCAGUGAAAUGCGUAGAUAUCGAGAGGAACACCAGUGGCGAAGGCGAGUCCCUGGACAACACCUGACACUGAGGCACGAAAGCUAGGGGAGCAAACAGGAUUAGAUACCCUGGUAGUCCUAGCCCUAAACGGUGCGCAUUUGCUGUAAGAGGAAUCGACCCCUUUUGUGGCGAAGCUAACGCGAUAAAUGCGCCGCCUGGGGAGUACGGUCGCAAGAUUA